AUCGAACGCUGGCGGCAGGCCUAACACAUGCAAGUCGAACGAGUGGCGGACGGGUGAGCAAUGUCUGGGAAACUGCCUGAUGUAGGGGGCUAACUACUGGAAACGGUAGCUAAUACCGCAUACCACCAGAUGUGUCCAGAUGGAAUUAGCGUGUCGGUGGGGUAACGGCUCACCAAGGCGACGAUCCCUAGCUGGUCUGAGAGGAUGACCAGCCACACUGGAACUGAGACACGGUCCAGACUCCGACGGGAGGCAGCAGUGGGGAAUAUUGCGCAAUGGGCGCAAGCCUGAUGCAGCCAUGCCGCGUGUAUGAAGAAGGCCUUCGGGUUGUAAAAUACUUUCCGCGGAGAGGCGUUACCCACAGAAGAAGCACCGGCUAACUCCGUGCCAGCAGCCGCGGUAAUUC
rnacentral:rRNA from 1 species